rnacentral:rRNA from 1 species
AUGUUGCCGGCUGGCGUCAAGUUCGAUCCCAUGGAUCAGGAGCUGAUCAAGCACCUUGAGGCCAAAGUGAGUGCUGACAGCGCGAGAUCUCACCCUCUCAUUGAUUUGUUCAUACCAACCAUCGACAGUGAGCACGGCAUAUGCUACACCCAUCCUGAGAAACUUCCAGUGCAAUUCCAGGGCGUUCAAAAGGGGCACAUGGACGCGUCGCAAGAUACAGUCGGAGUGUGGCAUGCACGCGAUGUAGCACAACACCGGCAAUACCUUGCCGGUGAUGGUCAAUGGCCAGCCGACGGGCAGCAAAAAGGUUCUGGUGCUGCACACCAACAAGAACUUCGACCAGCAGAGGACCAACUGGGUGAUGCACCAGUACCACCUCGGGGACCUGGAGCAAGAGAAGGAGCGGGAGCUGGUCCUCUACAAGAUUUUCUACCAGACGAACACAAGGGCCAGGAGUAA